rnacentral:rRNA from 1 species
CAAAAUGACUCUCGGCAACGGAUAUCUCGGCUCUCGCAUCGAUGAAGAACGUAGCGAAAUGCGAUACUUGGUGUGAAUUGCAGAAUCCCGUGAACCAUCGAGUCUUUGAACGCAAGUUGCGCCCGAAGCCAUUAUGCCGAGGGCACCCCUGCCUGGGUGUUACG